rnacentral:tRNA from 1 species
GGAGGUAUAGCUCAGUGGUAGAGUGCGUGCUUAGCAUGCACAAGGUCCUGGGUUCAAUCCCCAGUAUCUCCA